GCGGUCGUGGCGGAAUGGCAGACGCGCUACUUUGAGGGGGUAGUGAACAUAUUGUUCGUAUGGGUUCAAGUCCCAUCGACCGCA
rnacentral:tRNA from 1 species